rnacentral:misc_RNA from 1 species
GAUGAAGAACGUAGCGAAAUGCGAUACGUAAUGUGAAUUGCAGAUUUCAGUGAAUCAUCGAAUCUUUGAACGCACAUUGCGCCCGCUAGUAUUCUGGCGGGCAUGCCUGUUCGAGCGUCAUUUCAACCAUCAAGCCCUAGGCUUGCGUUGGAGCCCUGCGGCUGCCGCAGGCUCCCAAAUCCAGUGGCGGGCUCGUCGUCGUACCGAGUGCAGUAAACAUCCUCGCUCAGGGAACGUGACGGGUUCUUGCCGUGAAACCCCCCACAUACCAAGGUUGACCUCGGAUCAGGUAGGAAUACCCGCUGAACUUAAGCAUACAAUAAGCGGAGGA